CAGACCCAGUCAGGACACAGCAUGGACAUGAGGGUCCCCGCUCAGCUGCUGGGGCUCCUGCUGCUCUGGCUCCCAGGUGUCAGACGUGACAUCCAGAUGACCCAGUCUCCAUCCUUCCUGUCUGCAUCUGUAGGAGACAGAGUCACUAUCACUUGCCAGGCAAGUGAGGGCAUUAGCAGUGAUUUAGCCUGGUAUCAGCAGAAACCAGGGAAAUCCCCUAAGCUCUUCCUCUAUGAUGCAAAGGAUUUGUGCACUGGGGUCUCAUCAAAGUUCAGUGGCAGUGGAUCUGGGACAGAUUUCAUUCUCACCAUCAGCAGCCUUGAGCUUGAAGAUUUUGCAGCUUAUUACUGUGAACAGAAGUCCAGUUACCCUCCCACAAUGUUACAAGCCAGAACAUAA